rnacentral:rRNA from 1 species
AUUGAACGCUGGCGGCAUGCCUAACACAUGCAAGUCGAACGGUAACGCGGAGAGCUUGCUCUCUGGCGACGAGUGGCGGACGGGUGAGUAACGCGUAGGAAUCUGCCUAGUAGUGGGGGACAACCUGGGGAAACCCAGGCUAAUACCGCAUACGCCCUAAGGGGGAAAGCGGGGGAUCUUCGGACCUCGCGCUAUUAGAUGAGCCUGCGUCGGAUUAGCUUGUUGGUGGGGUAAAGGCCUACCAAGGCGACGAUCCGUAGCUGGUCUGAGAGGAUGAUCAGCCACACCGGGACUGAGACACGGCCCGG